AAAUCCUAGGAGGAUUGAGAUUAUGUAGGGUCAUGAUCAUCUGAUUUUUGUAAAGUGUUUAUUUAUUUGAAAGUACAGAGACAGAGAAGAGAAAGAGACAGACAGAGAGAGAGAGAGAGAGAUCUUCAAUCUGCUGGUUCACUCCUCAGAUGGCUGCAAUGGCCAGAGCUGAGCCAGGCCAAAGCCAGAAGUCAAGCGCUAGGAGUUUCUUCCAGGUCUGUUAUACAGGUAGCAGGGGCCCAAGCACUUGGGCCAUCUUCUGCUGCUUUCCCAGGAGCAUUAGCAGGGAGCUGGAUUGGAAGUGAAGCAACUAGGACACUACUCAGAGCCUAUAUGGGAUGCUGACAGGUGGCAGCUUUACUUGCUAUGCCACAACACCAGCUCCCUGACACAGUCAUCUACCAGCAUCAUAACUGCUAGGCUAAAUGUCUGCCCCUGUAUGACUUUGAAUGGCUAUAACAUAUUUUACUCUACAGAUAUAAGACAAUUUAUUUAACUAUUGGUCUUGUAAAAGUUAGGUUGUUUCCAAUUUUUAAAUAUUGUAUGAUAAAUAAUGCUGUUGCAAUCAUAUAAAUAACAACUAAAAUUGAUGCUCUAAGGCUUAUGUUAAGAAAUGAAUUAUGAAUCACAGCAUAGUCUGUACUUUUUUAAGGUAAUGAAUGGAUAAACCAUGCUGUGUGAGCCACACAUGAUGAAGCCUGAACACCCAACCGUCUCUGAAUCACUUCGUGAGUGUGAGUCAGGGAGUCCAUGUCACUCCUCAGUGGCCUUGUUUGUUCAUUUCACCUGGGGCCCCGGGACCUUCCCCACGCUCUAGCCCAGGCCCCAGCUUCUCCGAGCCAGGAGACUAAAUUCUCUGUCUAGGCAAGAACCACAUUAUACAAGCGCCUGACCACAAAGAUACAGGUGGGAAAACUGAGACCUGGAAUGAUAGCCCGAACAAAGGAGAGAACUCUCGGUGGCUGGGAACCUCGUGACAGACAAAGACCGUGCCCCGGCAGCUGUUACUGAGGAUUGCUUCUACCCUCAACAGCUGGGCAUUUGCCGUUGCUUCUGAAUCUCCAGCAGGCACUCCCACCAGAUGACCUUGCUUCAGAACCCACUGGGAAAACCGAAGCACUCAGAAGAGCUUGCCACAAGCUCCCUCCGCCACGGUUUACCACCUGUUGCUGCUGCACCAACAUCCAUCUGCUUUCUCUUCUUUCAAUAUCAUGUAUGGGCCAACACACCCAACUGCUCACCCCAGCCCGGAUCUCCCCCUGUAGAUUCCGACUGGAUAUCCAAUUGCCUACGUGACUUCUCUAUGUGCAUGUCUGAAAACCUCUCAGACUUAACGUGUCUAAUACCAGACUGUUGGUCUGCCCCAAACCUGUUCUUCUUGUAGCCUUCUGCACCUAAGUUAAUGGCAACAUCUUCCUUCUUACUUUCUCAUGCCAAGAAACUUGGAGUCCUUUCUGACUCCUAUCACAUCCAGUCCAUCAGCAAAUAUUUGCAUCAUGUCUCACCAGAUUAUUGAAAUAAUCUCCUUACUGAUCUCACUCAUUUUCAGCCUAUUUCACAAUAUGGUCAUUAGACUGGUCCUAUUAAAACAUAAGGCAGAUCACGUCAGCGUAAGUCAGUACAUUUGGGUCAUGAACAUGAGAAAGUAAUAGGCACCAAAAUAUCUCCACCUGCUCUUCUGACUUCUGUUACAGAAUCUGGGCCCAAAGCACAUGAAGAAUCAGAACUAUCACAGGCACACAUCCAAGUAGUCAACAAGAAUUUAUUGAAUGUCAGUGUGUACACAAGACCUUGGACCAGAAGAGACUGUGAAUGCAGCUGCUCAGUCACACACAUAGGAGCCACCAUGCUGCCUCUUUAAGAGCUGGGGAUGGCAGAUUAUCUAAAACAACCUUGAAACACCAAGACCUGGACAAAUCAACAAAUGCUCAAAACUGAAAGCCCACUUCCCCCUUUAAAAAUUGAGGCUCCAAAAAUAUCAGCACUCUCAACGUCUUAGCAGUCAGGUGAUUGAAGAGCACGCUGAGUUUUUCCACAUGCGCAGGAAAGAGAGCCACCUGCCUGCAGGCUUUUCUCCUUGAAAUGGGGAGCUGCAUCCUGUUCCGGUUACUGAGCAGCCCACUUCCUCCCCAACACCGAAACCGUGUAUCUGUAAGCAAAUUUCUAGAGUUUCUAUGUGGCUGGAAGCCAAAAUAAAAAUUGUCUUGCAGUUCUCUGUCUUGUUGGAUAGCUAGAUGUGCAAGGCGGUGGAGGGGUUUCUCUUUAUUACCUUGGGACUCAAGGCAUAAAAUGCAGUCCCGCUUUUAAAAGUUCAUGUUCUUGAACAGUUCAAAAGGUCUAGUUCAAUCCAAGGAGCUUCCAUCCAAGAGGCAGGAAGUUGCUUUGCAUUAAAAGCAGCCCCUCCUUUACUUGUCGCUGAACUUCUCCAUGAAAAUGUUUAUGGCAGGCAUAUGUUGUUUUCAAUUUGCCAGCACCCCCUUCCAUGUGGUAUCGGAGAAGCUGCCAA